rnacentral:rRNA from 1 species
GGGGGAUAUUGCACAAUGGAGGAAACUCUGAUGCAGCAACGCCGCGUGAGGGAAGACGGUUUUCGGAUUGUAAACCUCUGUCCUUGGUGACGAAACAAAUGACGGUAGCCAAGGAGGAAGCUCCGGCUAACUACGUGCCAGCAGCCGCGGUAAUACGUAGGGAGCAAGCGUUGUCCGGAUUUACUGGGUGUAAAGGGUGCGUAGGCGGCUCUGCAAGUCAGGCGUGAAAUAUAUGGGCUUAACCCAUAGACUGCGUUUGAAACUGUGGAGCUUGAGUGAAGUAGAGGGGGGUAGAAUUCCAGGUGUAGCGGUGAAAUGCGUAGAGAUCUGGAGGAAUACCGGUGGCGAAGGCGGCCCCCUGGACAAAGACUGACGCUCAGGUGCGAAAGCGUGGGGAGCAAACA